rnacentral:rRNA from 1 species
AUGCUUGUUAUGCAUGAAGAAAAUGAGGGCAGAUUUGGUUCCACUGUUGAGGAGAAGAUCACUGUUGUUUCUGAUGAAACCAUCAACCUUGUGGAUGGUGACGAGAUGAUUUGGAUAUCGGACAGCGAUGCUACCAUUCAUGCUACAUCUCGCAGAGAGCUCUUCACUAACUAUAUAACAGGUGAUUUUGGUGUUGUGAAGAUGGGGAACAAUAAUAGAGCAGCUAUCAUUGGAAAAGGAGAUGUGUAUUUGGAGACCGCAAAUGGUAUAAGGUUAGUCGUCAAAUCUGUGAGGCAUGUUGAGGCACUUCGUCUCAAUAUUAUUUCAGUUGGUUUGCUUGAUGGAGAUGAUUACUUGAGCAGUUUUGGAAAAGGGCAGUACAAGCUCACUAAAGGCAACAUGAUUGUUGCAAGAGGUAAAAUGGUCUCAGUGUUGUAUCAUGUUCAUGCUAAGCUCUUUAGUGCUUCUGUCAACGCACUAGAGAAGGAUGAUCAUUGUGCUUUAUGGCACAAGAGACUUGGGCACAUGAGUGAGAAGGGGAUGACAGUGCUAGUGAAGAAAAAAUUGUUGAAGGGUGUGAAAAGAGUUCACAUCAAGAAAUGUUCAGAUUGUCUAGCAGGGAAGCAACACCGAGUUGCCUUCAAGACUCUACCUCCUCACAAGAAGCCCGAGAAGCUGGACUUGAUACAUUCCGAUGUUUGCAAAAUGCCGGUAAGAUCUCUUGGUGGUGCUAAGUACUUUGUGACUUUUAUUGAUGACUUUUCCAGGAAAGUUUGGGCCUUCACUUUGAGGACCAAAGAUCAAGUACUAGGUGUAUUUAAGCAAUUCCAAGCCUCGGUCGAGAGAGAAACUGAGAAGAAGAUCAAGUGCAUUCGCACUGAUAAUGGAGGAGAGUAUAUUUGGCCAUUUGAUGCAUAUUGCAAGCAGCAAGGUAUUAGACAUCAAUUUACUCCCUCGAAGACACCACAGCUGAACGGUCUUUGCUGA